GGCAGCAGCUAAGAAUAUUCCGCAAUGGACGAAAGUCUGACGGAGCGACGCCGCGUGGAUGAUGAAGGCCGGAAGGUUGUAAAAUCCUUUAGCAAGUGAGGAAUAAGCAGAGCAGGGAAUGGCUCUGUGGUGACUGUAGCUUGAGAAUAAGCAUCGGCUAAUUACGUGCCAGCAGCCGCGGUAACACGUAAGAUGCUAGCGUUGUUCGGAAUUAUUGGGCGUAAAGGGCAUGUAGGCGGUUAUUCAAGUCUGGUGUGAAAUCUCGGAGCUUAACUCCGAAACUGCAUUGGAAACUAGAUGACUAGAAUUGCUGAGGGGAAGCCGGAAUUCCAGGUGUAGGGGUGAAAUCUGUAGAGAUCUGGAAGAACACCAAUGGCGAAGGCAGGCUUCUAGCAGAUAAUUGACGCUGAGGUGCGAAGGGACGGGGAGCAAACAGGAUUAGAUACCCUGGUAGUCCGUCCAGUAAACUAUGUACACUAGAUGUCCGGGCAGGAGCUCGGGUGUCGCAGCAAACGCUUUAAGUGUACCGCCUGGGAAGUAUGCCCGCAAGGGUGAAACUCAAAGGAAUUGACGG
rnacentral:rRNA from 1 species